rnacentral:rRNA from 1 species
AUUUCUUCGGAAUGAAGUUUUGGUGACUGAGUGGCGGACGGGUGAGUAACGCGUGGGUAACCUGCCUCACACAGGGGGAUAACAGUUGGAAACGGCUGCUAAUACCGCAUGAAGCAUAGGGGUCGCAUGAUGCAGUGUGAAAAACUCCGGUGGUAUAAGAUGGACCCGCGUUGGAUUAGCUAGUUGGUGAGGUAACGGCCCACCAAGGCGACGAUCCAUAGCCGACCUGAGAGGGUGACCGGCCACAUUGGGACUGAGACACGGUCCAGACUCC